rnacentral:tRNA from 1 species
AAAAUUUUAGUUUAAUAAAAAUUUUAUUUUUACAAAAUAAGGAUUAAGUUUGUUUAAAAUUUUA